GGACCGUAGCUCAGUGAUGUAGCAUCUACCUUGCAAGCAAAAGCUCCCAGGUUCAAUCCCUGGAGUCUCCA